AUUGAACGCUGCGGCAGGCCUAACACAUGCAAGUCGAGCGGUAGAGAGAAGCUUGCUUCUCUUGAGAGCGGCGGACGGGUGAGUAAUGCCUAGGAAUCUGCCUGGUAGUGGGGGAUAACGUUCGGAAACGAACGCUAAUACCGCAUACGUCCUACGGGAGAAAGCAGGGGACCUUCGGGCCUUGCGCUAUCUGAUGAGCCUAGGUCGGAUUAGCUAGUUGGUGGGGUAAUGGCUCACCAAGGCGACGAUCCGUAACUGGUCUGAGAGGAUGAUCAGUCACACUGGAACUGAGACACGGUCCAGACUCCUACGGGAGGCAGCAGUGGGGAAUAUUGGACAAUGGGCGAAAGCCUGAUCCAGCCAUGCCGCGUGUGUGAAGAAGGUCUUCGGAUUGUAAAGCACUUUAAGUUGGGAGGAAGGGCAGUUACCUAAUACGUGAUUGUUUUGACGUUACCGACAGAAUAAGCACCGGCUAAUGUGUCAA
rnacentral:rRNA from 1 species